AAGAAAGAUAGUGUCAUCUCUAUAGAAUACACUUCCAGGCUCCAUGGUAAAGGGCGGAGGAUCUUUCAGGACCAGUCCAGAUACGCACAGGCAGCAUCCUUUGGCUUGUGGGAUGGCCAUCUUCUCAAGAACAUUGGGAAUGUCUCCAGCUGCUGAUGACCCAAGGAAUGCAGGGAGUUGCCUGCUCUGCCUACCACUCCUGUGCUCUGAUGCUAUUUAACAACCACAGCGACCUUGACACUGCAAAGCUCCCGGUGCUUCCAGUGCGCCCAGCCCUGCACUGGAAGCCCCUCAGCAAUUCCCACUGUGACUCACUGUUUUAUGAAGAAACAGACACAGUGGAAUAAGACUUGCUUUAAAGGAUUGCAAGAGGCUUCUUUCACUGUGCCCUGAACACCAUGGCUGACGGUGCCUGCUCCCAGCUCCUGCAUGGAAAGUGUGAUUGGUUAGAUCCUGUGGUCUGCGUGUUAAUGUCUGUCACAGAAUCUGUGUGCUGGAAACUGAAGUCCUGUGUAAUCACAGUACUAAGCAGUACUGAGAGCCAUUGAACUGUACACUGAGCACAGGCGGCUACAGCAACUGUAACUGUAACAUACGGAGAAGACUCCCCCUCCCAUCUCCGAAGAUACACUGAAUUAUUUCCAUUCUAUUCAAGUCAGCCAGGACACUGUUUCAAAUUGGAUCAUGACUCAUCAUAAGGUCAUAAAAAAUCAAUUGAACUGAUUAUGACCAGCUCUCUAAUGGUUUAAAUUGAUUGUCAACUUGAAAGGAUCUAGAGUCAUCUUGGAGACAAAUCGCUGGACUUGUCUAUAAGGGAAUUUUCUAGAUUGGACCAACUGAGGCAGGAAGAGCCACCAUGAAUGUAGAUGGUGCAAUCCCAUGGCUUGGGAUCUUGCACUAAAUUCAACAGUGGAAGCAAGCAAAGCAUCCAUAGCUAUCGCUCUUCACCUUCUGAGUGGGGACAGUCUGGAGCUGCCUCCCUCUCCACAUGCCAUGACUUCCAUGCCACGAUGGACCCUAAAACUGUGAGCAAAAAGUAAACCUUUUCUUCCUUAAGUGGCUGCUGUCACAUAGUUUGUCAUAGCAAUGAGAAAAAAAAAUAGCAAAUACAGCAGCUUGGAAAAGAACACAACAGAACAGAAAGCGUCAGGCCAAGUGGGGCUUUGCUUGCAAUAAAGUUUGUGCAUGAAAACUUUA